UACGUAGGGGGCAAGCGUUGUCCGGAUUUAUUGGGUUUAAAGGGUGCGUAGGCGGCCUUGUAAGUCAGUGGUGAAAUACUCCAGCUUAACUGGAGGGGUGCCAUUGAUACUGCAGGGCUUGAGUUCAGAUGAGGUAGGCGGAAUUGACGGUGUAGCGGUGAAAUGCUUAGAUAUCGUCAAGAACACCGAUAGCGAAGGCAGCUUACUGGGCUGUAACUGACGCUGAGGCACGAAAGUGUGGGGAUCAAACAGG
rnacentral:rRNA from 1 species